rnacentral:tRNA from 1 species
CCGGCUUCGGCACGCUGGUGCUGCAGGGCCCGCCGUCGCCGGCCCCGCCGUCGGUGUCGCUGGCGGGCCCGGUCGUGUCGGGCGAGCCGCUC